rnacentral:rRNA from 1 species
GACGAACGCUGGCGGCGUGCUUAACACAUGCCAGUCGAACGGAAAGGCCCUGCUUUUGUGGGGUGCUCGAGUGGCGAACGGGUGAGUAACACGUGAGUAACCUGCCCUUGACUUUGGGAUAACUUCAGGAAACUGGGGCUAAUACCGGAUAGGAGCUCCUGCUGCAUGGCGGGGGUUGGAAAGUUUCGGCGGUUGGGGAUGGACUCGCGGCUUAUCAGCUUGUUGGUGGGGUAGCGGCUUACCAAGGCUUUGACGGGUAGCCGGCCUGAGAGGGUGACCGGCCACAUUGGGACUGAGAUACGGCCCAGACUCCUACGGGAGGCAGCAGUGGGGAAUAUUGCACAAUGGGCGGAAGCCUGAUGCAGCAACGCCGCGUGCGGGAUGACGGCCUUCGGGUUGUAAACCGCUUUCGCCUGUGACGAAGCGUGAGUGACGGUAAUGGGUAAAGAAGCACCGGCUAACUACGUG